AAACAUUAAAACUAAUAUAGAACAACAAUCAAACUAAAAAAAAUAAAAUGCAAAACCAAUCAACCUAAUGUCCCCCAACAUGACCUCUUCCUUUCCAAAGUCGAACGCCACAGCAUCUCCACUAGAACCGUAUUCUUCGUCCUCUCUUCCUCCUCCUCCUCCUUCCCUUCAUUUUAGCACCGAUCCCAGGAACUAGUGUUAGGGUUUCGCUUUCAAUAUUGAUAUGGAGGGGUUUUGAGCGGACCUUGAGUUUAUUAGGCUAGGGUCUGGAUUCAAGCGUGUUUGAAGGUGCGCUAGGAUUUUGAUUGCUUGAAUUUUGCUAUUUUGGUCUUCAGUUGGAGAUUGACCGAUGAUAUUGAUGUUGUUUAAAUUUAGGUUUAAAUUUUGUGAAUGGUUUUUGUGGGAUUUUAGUUCCCGUCAAUGUUCUGGUGUUAACUAUUCUUAUUUUCCUUAAUUUGAGAGGAUCGUGAAUUUCUUUAUUGACGUGUAUCUUUUGUUUGGUAUUUGUAGAUGUUAUUCAUCUGCAAAAUUUAAUUCAAGAGUCCUAGGCCUUAGUGUGGAUGUUUCGUUGAUGGUUGGAUUCAUCUUGCUAAUGUUACAAUAGUUUCUUAUC